AAUCUUUACUACAAAGUACUGUUGCUGAAUAUCUCGUGCUGCGAGAUUUAAAAAUAGUAAUUUUCUAAGAAAGAUUUGUUUCUAACAAGUCAAGCAACCCACUUAGAGGCCACCUUUCCUUUCAGAAUGAUAGGCCAUGGAAUGGCAGGGCAUGGAUACAGUCCUGUAUAGUUUCAUGGAUAUUUGAAGAUUUCUGUAGAUGUUGUUGGAUUGGAGACCCAUAAGUCAGUUAAUAAAAGGAAUAGACACAUUCUAUCUGAUUUGGUAUUGAUCACCACAGAGACAAGUGAAUGGAAGACAAGCUUCACCAAACCAGACUUGGCUGACUAACAAAUAAAUACAGAAAACAACUUUGGCAUCAUUAAGUCUCCCGUGUUUGUAAAUGUUUCGAAAUUUCAAGUACAAAGUGAUGUAGCUGUGUGUGUGUGUGUGUGCGUGUGCGUGCGUGUGUGUGUGUGCGUGCGCGUGCGCGUGUGUGAUACACAAGUACAGAACACACGUGUGACCUGCUGGAAACUGUAGCCGGAGCUCUCAAUUCACGCACUUGCACUCGGCAGCAAAAUCGCUCUCAAAAGACACCCUACUAUUGAUAACAUAGUCCUGUAUAUACUAGACUAGGAAAAAGCAAGGUGGUCAUGUUUGGAAUCAUUGGUCUGGAGGCUGAAAUUCUGAAAAUUUCAAGAGACAUUUUAUGGUUGACUGGUUAAGUAAUUUGAUUUUCAUUAAUGAGGUCAUUGGUUCAAUCUCAGUAUGUGGCAUCAAGUGUGUUUCACUGACAAAGCUUUGGGUUGAUCCAAGCUUUGUGAGUGAAACUGAAUAGAUGGAAACUGUAUGAAAGCUUGUCUAGAGCCAUGCUUCUCAAACUAUCUGACGUGGCAUACCAGCAGUUUUUUUUUUUUCCCAAUGGGCCAAGGACUGGUAAUAUUUCUUAGUAAUAUUAGUUUAUACAGGAAACAAUAUGUAUAAUCGCAUCACUACUGCUUAAGUCUCUCUGAGAGAUUUAGAAAUGUAUUAUUUCUAAUAUAUAUAAUGAAUAUAAUAAAAGUCGACAAUUUUU